rnacentral:rRNA from 1 species
UACGUAGGGGGCAAGCGUUGUCCGGAAUUAUUGGGCGUAAAGAGCGUGUAGGCGGUCCGGUAAGUCAGCUGUGAAAGUCAAGGGCUCAACCCUUGAAUGCCGGUUGAUACUGUCGGGCUAGAGUCCGGAAGAGGCGAGUGGAAUUCCCGGUGUAGCGGUGAAAUGCGCAGAUAUCAGGAGGAACACCGAUGGCGAAGGCAGCUCGCUGGGACGGUACUGACGCUGAGGCGCGAAAGCGUGGGGAGCGAACAGG